UGCUGCAUGGCUGUCGUCAGCUCGUGUCGUGUAGAUGUUCGGUUAAGUCCGCUAACGAGCGCAACCCUCGCUGUGUGUUAUAUGUGUCACACGGGACUGCCGGUCUUAAGCCGGAGGAAGGUGGGGAUGAUGUCAAGUCAGCAUGGCCUUUAUAUCCUGGGCUACACACACGCUACAAUGGCCAACACAAUAGGUUGCUAAGCCGCGAGGUGGCGCCAAUCCAUAAAGUUGGUCUCAGUUCAGAUUGUAGGCUGCAACCCGCCUGCAUGAAGAUGGAGUUGCUAGUAACCGCAGGUCAGCUAUACUGCGGUGAAUACGUUCCCGGGGCUU
rnacentral:rRNA from 1 species